CUCCAGACUCCUACGGGAGGCAGCAGUGGGGAAUAUUGCACAAUGGGGGAAACCCCGAUGCAGCGACGCCGCGUGAGUGAAGAAGUAUUUCGGUAUGUAAAGCUCUAUCAGCAGGGAAGAAGGAGGACGGUACCUGAGUAAGAAGCCCCGGCUAACUACGUGCCAGCAGCCGCGGUAAUACGUAGGGGGCAAGCGUUAUCCGGAUUUACUGGGUGUAAAGGGGGCGCAGACGGCGAUGCAAGCCAGGAGUGAAAGCCCGGGGCCCAACCCCGGGACUGCUCUGGAAACUGCGGCGCUGGAGUACGGGAGGGGCAGGCGGAAUUCCUGGUGUAGCGGUGAAAUGCGUAGAUAUCAGGAGGAACACCGGCGGCGAAGGCGGCCUGCUGGACCGUGACUGACGUUGAGGCUCGAGAGCGUGGGGAGCAAACAGGAUUAGAUACCCGGGUA
rnacentral:rRNA from 1 species